AAGCGUGCGCAGGCGGUUAUGUAAGACAGAUGUGAAAUCCCCGGGCUCAACCUGGGAACUGCAUUUGUGACUGCAUGGCUAGAGUACGGUAGAGGGGGAGUGGAAUUCCGCGUGUAGCAGUGAAAUGCGUAGAUAUGCGGAGGAACACCGAUGGCGAAGGCAAUCCCCUGGACCUGUACUGACGCUCAUGCACGAAAGCGUGGGGAGCAAACAGGAUUAGAUACCCGGGU
rnacentral:rRNA from 1 species